rnacentral:rRNA from 1 species
GAUGAACGCUAGCGGCAGGCCUAAUACAUGCAAGUCGAACGGGAUCCAGAUCAAAGCUUGCUUUGGUCUGGUGAGAGUGGCGCACGGGUGCGUAACGCGUGAGCAACCUACCCUUGUCAGGGGGAUAGCCCGGCGAAAGUCGGAUUAAUACCGCAUGACAUCAUUGAGAGGCAUCUUUCGAUGAUCAAAGAUUUAUCGGACAAGGAUGGGCUCGCGUGACAUUAGCUAGUUGGUAAGGUAACGGCUUACCAAGGCUGCGAUGUCUAGGGGCUCUGAGAGGAGAAUCCCCCACACUGGUACUGAGACACGGACCAGACUCCUACGGGAGGCAGCAGUAAGGAAUAUUGGUCAAUGGACGGAAGUCUGAACCAGCCAUGCCGCGUGCAGGAAGACGGCCCUAUGGGUUGUAAACUGCUUUUGUACGGGAAGAAAAAACAUUACGUGUAAUG